rnacentral:rRNA from 1 species
GCAAGUCGAACGGCAGAAGCAGAAAGCUUGCUUUCUGGCUGGCGAGUGGCGGACGGGUGAGUAAUGCAUAGGAAUCUGCCUAGUAGUUGGGGAUAACUUGGGGAAACUCAAGCUAAUACCGAAUGUGCCCUACGGGGUAAAGCGGGGGAUCUUCGGACCUCGUGCUAUUAGAUGAGCCUAUGUCCGAUUAGCUAGUUGGCGGGGUAAUGGCCCACCAAGGCAACGAUCGGUAGCUGGUCUGAGAGGAUGAUC